GUGAGCUUCUGUCCUAGGGGAGCUCCGGGGGCCUGUCCCAUCAUUUGCCUUCAGCCAGAAUGACAUGUGCCUGGUGUUUGUAGCUUUUGCCACCUGGGCUGUGAGGACGUCAGAUCCGCAUACCCCAGACGCCUGGAAAACAGCCUUGCUGGCCAACGUCGGCACCAUCUCUGCCAUCCGCUACUUCCGCCGGCAGGUGGGGCAAGGGCGCCGCAGCCACAGCCCCAGCCCCAGCUCCUAGGAGCCAGGCCCGGGCCAGGGAGAUGCAGGAUGAGGAGACGACCACAGGCGCCCAGGGCAGGACGAGGUGCCGCCCUCGCCCGGGCCCUCUGACCCCUCUCUUCUACCGCGUCCAGGAGGGGGGCGUGUCCUGGUGCUGCUCCCUCCGACUCACCUGAGGAUCCAGCCAGUGACCACGGCCACUCCCCACGCCUGGGAGGGAGGUGCUAAAGUCUGGGUGGGUGGAGGGCAGGCAGGUGGCUGGGUAGGAGGGUGGCCAGAUUCACAGAUGAGAACACAGGGCAUUCGGUUAAUUUCAGACAGGCAAUAGUGGGGAGGUCAUUUUACUAAGAAGUUGUUGUUUAUCUGAAAUCAAAUGCAACCGCACCCUGCGUUUCUUCUGGGGUGCAGGGGGAGCUGAGUGGCAGGACAGGACUUGGACCUCGGAGGGGUCUGAGCAGCAAGACACUCCGGCUGGAGCUCUGGGCAGAGGCAGGGGAGAGGACACAGGGUGGCCUCAAAGAGGGGAUGGGCAGCCUCCUCACAGGUGGGCUGGGCUGGCAAGGGCUCCAAGGCCCAUCACUCUUGAUCCUCAAAGGACUGUGGCCAAGGCCUCUGCGGGCUCUGGCCUGAGACAGCGAAGGCUCUGCCUGCCCCUCCCCAGUGCAGCAGCCCCUGCAGGGUGGGGGUCUGUGGCAGAGCCGCGAGCCCCUCCCCGGGAGCCCUGGGUGCAGGUGCAGAGGGAGAAUUCGGUGGCCUCAGAUGGAGGGCUGGGCUCCUGGGGUUGUCCCGGGGGCUCCUGUGGGGCAGCUGGGGACCCACAGCCAAGAGGAGUCAGAGAUGAGGUGGGAAGGUCGGUGAGGGGCCCGAGGUGGCAGAGGAAGGGGGCUGCCUGGCUGGGUGCUGGGUGGGGGUCCUCAAGACUGUGGGAGACCCUGGCUGCUGAGCAGAGAACACAUGGAUGCAGCACCAAUAAAAUUCUAUCUUUU
rnacentral:lncRNA from 1 species